rnacentral:tRNA from 1 species
GGCAGAAUAGCCCAGGGGAGAUGGUCCUGGCUGCAAGUCAGGAAGUCUGGGUCCCAUUCCCAAUGCUGCCA